rnacentral:rRNA from 1 species
GACGAACCGUGCAAACGUUAUUCGGAAUCACUGGGCAUAAAGGGCGCGUGGGCGGCUUUCUAAGUCAGGGGUGAAAUCCGGCAGCUCAACUGUCGCAGUGCCUUUGAUACUGGAGAGCUCGAGGGAGGUAGGGGUCUGUGGAACUUCCGGUGGAGCGGUGAAAUGCGUUGAUAUCGGAAGGAACGCCGGUGGCGAAAGCGACGGACUGGAUCUCUUCUGACGCUGAGGCGCGAAAGCCAGGGGAGCAAAGCGGG